CUGAAUAAUAUAUAAAGUUUAAAACGUUAAAAGACGGGUCUGCGGAAGAUUAGGUAGUUGGUGGUUUAAAAGACUACCAAGCCGAUGAUCUUUAGCUGGUUUGAAAGAAUGAUCAGCCACAUUGGGACUGAGACACGGCCCAAACUUUUUUAAAGGCAGCAGUGAGGAAUUUUGGACAAUGGGCGGAAGCCUGAUCCAGCAAUACCAAGUGAGUGAAGAAGGCUAAUUGGGUUGUAAAUCUCUUUCGUUAAGGAGGAAAAAGACAGUACUUAAGGAAGAAGUCCCGGCUAAUAUCCGUG
rnacentral:rRNA from 1 species